rnacentral:lncRNA from 1 species
AAUCCUGUUACACUUGGGAUUUAGGUGCUUUUAGCCUGAAAAAAGUAUGUGUCCACUAAACACUCCAGAAGGAUUUGAGAAGCAUCCUCGCCUGAACUAAAGCUAGAGUCUUUGAGGAUUUGGAAAAUUGAG